rnacentral:lncRNA from 1 species
ACCGACUUUCGCACAAGUCCGCAACCAUGCUGGCUACUCCCCGGGCUUCUGCCCGUCCUUUCACCAGCGCGCGCCCGGCCGCCAAGGCGCCCAUUUGCCCUCGCCGGGUGACCGUGCGCGCCGCGGAGGAGGCUGUGGAGGCCGCUCCUGAGGCGUUCGAGGAGUCCAUGGAGUCGGGUCCUCGUGGCCGUCGCAGCUCUGUGGAGAAGGGCAUGGAGCUGAAGCACUUCCUGCCUCUGCCCAAGCCGGCCCACCUUGUGUUCAUUAAGCCCACCGUGGCCGUCGUCGCGGGCACUGCUAGCCGCAGCUCCGUGGGCGUUAAGAUGUCCGCUGGCGACCAGCAACUGGAGCGCUACGUGGUCGAGUACUUCGCUCGCAGCGUCAAGUAAAUGGUGGAAUUUUCAUGUGGGUAGCCAAGAUACGCCCUGGAGCGUGGCC